rnacentral:rRNA from 1 species
GCCUAACACAUGCAAGUCGAACGAAGCAUACGGACUGGAGAUUCGUCGAAGGACCGUAUGACUUAGUGGCGGACGGGUGAGUAAUGUAUGAGCAACCUGCCUUUCAGAGGGGGACAACAGUUGGAAACGACUGCUAAUACCGCGUAAUGUAUCGUGAGGGCAUCCUCGUGAUACCAAAGGAGCAAUCUGCUGAAAGAUGGGCUCAUAUCUGAUUAGCUUGUUGGCGGGGUAACGGCCCACCAAGGCGACGAUCAGUAGCCGGACUGAGAGGUUGAACGGCCACAUUGGGACUGAGAUACGGCCCGGACUCCUACGGGAGGCAGCAGUGGGGAAUAUUGGGCAAUGGGCGAAAGCCUCGACCCAGCAACGCCGCGUGAAGGAAGAAGGUCUUCGGAUUGUAAACUUCUUUUAUGAGGGACGAAGGACGUGACGGUACCUCAUGAAUAAGCCACGGCUAACUACGUGCCAGCCGCUGC